GGUUAGAGGUUUGCAUUUUUUUACAUAUGAACUGCUUCUAUAUAUUUUGGGCAUGAGCACCUCCUCAGUAGGUACUCCUCUCUCUUUGCUGCGUCUAUAAUUAAAGUUCAGAAGUUGUCCUCCUCUCCUUUGAUGUGUCUUUUUUCCCAGUAGUUUUUGUUGCAGGACAGUGUCCUUUUUGUACAUGAACUGAAGGUUGUGCUCACUGAUCUACAACCUCAUGAUCAGCAAUUUCUCCAUGAAGCUCUAAGUUCCCAUGUCUUCAUUUCAGCAGGGAUGAACGAGUACCAUCCAGCAAAAUUUCCUGUGUUGUUCAUAUUUCUUAUUUUUUCCUUUGCUACUUUUAUGAUUCCAGAUCUCAUGAUCUCUUUAUAUUCUGUUUGUUUUAUUGAUACGGAGUUUGCUUUGAAGUAUUCCUUCUGAUUUGCAAUGUUUUAUUGUCUAAGUUUUUACCCGAAUAUUGUGAAUGAACAAGUACUGGUGCAACAGCCCACUUGGAGGAUAAUACAGAGAGUUUGGCAGAUUUUAUUGCCAGUAACGAGAAAGAUCAUGCGCCCAUGGUUUUCAACCGUGUCCUGCUGCCAGAGGAACUCAGAAUCCUGUGAUAGGCCACCCACACGAUGGACGAGAUGCACGUGUACCGGACACACGGGUUGCUAGCAUACAUGUUUCUGUUUUUGCUAAUGAUAGUACUUGCUAAUUGAUUGUACAUAUAAUUUAUUUGCUAUAAUUUGAGAGAUGUAAUAGUAAUUUGAAUUGUCGUAUCUGUAGAGGUAUCCAAUUGAGCCGAGACGUCCAUUAUAAUGUACUACAGUACUAUACAAUCGGAAGAAGGAACACUCUUUGCCUGUGAUUUGUGACUUGGAAGUAUGAUGUAUGUAGUACAUCCGGGUACUCUGAAGGAGAACUGUUCCCGGUACAUACAUAUGAAAACUCGGUGCAAGCAGAAUUUGCCAUCAGAGAAGAUAGUCUCAAGUUUCUUUUUGUUUUAGGUCAACAUUUCAACAAGGGUCUCUAUGCAUAUAUUUAUGUACAAUCCACCUAAAAUUUGAUUCAACAUGCA